UAAGGUGGCGACGGCAACUUAGCUGAGUCCAUUGCUCACGCUCUCGUAAUUGAGCUUUUGUGAGUCCAUCCUUCCCGCAGGCCGCCUCUCGGCUGGCGGGAGCUGGUCGCUGGCCCGGCUGCGGGCGGAGGGCUUCCCAGAGGCGCGGCGGCUGCCACCCGGGCCGUGUGAACCCUGGCCGCCCUUCCUCUAGAGUGGGGCGGGGGAGUGCCCUGGCAGCACCCGCCCGAGAAUACCAGCUUUGCUCACCUACUGCCUGUCUGGUUGUGAGUGAAAAUCCAAAGGAAGACAGUUGUCCACUGAGCUAUUAACAAUGCAACCACAGGAGUUAAUAUCCUUCAAAGAUGUAGCUGUAGACUUCACCCAGGAAGAGUGGGCAUUGCUAGACACAUUCCAGAGACAACUGUUCAGAGAAGUGAUGCUGGAGAAUAUCAGUCAUCUGAUCUCAGUGGGAUGUGAGGUCUGCAAAUCAGAUGUGUUUUCCCUUUUGGCACAGACACAGGUAGUGUGGAGGGAAGAAAUGGAAUUUCUUCAAAAUCAGAGCCCAGACAUUGAAAUUGCCUGUAAAAAGCAAGAGAUGAUAUUGAUGCAACUUAUCUACAGCAAUGACAAUUCUGAGGAUGCAUCACUGAUGUCUUACACUCAGAAGAAUUCCUUUAAAUGUAAUUACUUGCAAGAGGAUUCCACCCUCAGAUCCACAGUGACUCAACAUGCAUUAACUCCCAUGAGAAAGAAACCAUAUUUAAGGAAACUAUUUGGAAAAGUCCUCAGUGAACAGUCAUCUUUUAAUAAACAUAAGCAGUUUCACACUACAAGUAAAUCCUGUGAAUGCCAUCAAAAUGCUAAAGCCUUUAUUAAAAGCGCUGGCCACAAACAAUAUGAUAGAACUCAAACUGGAGAUAAACCGUACAAAUGCUUUCUAUGUGGAAAAGCAUUCAUUGGCUUUAUUGACUUUAGACAACAUGAGAGAACAAACACUGGAGAGAAACUUGAAUGUAACCUAUCUGGAAAAGCCUUCAGUCAGUCUUCUAGUCUUCAGCACAUUGAGAGAACUCACUCUGGACACAAACCCUAUGAAUGCAUUACAUGUGGGAAAGCCUUCACUUAUUAUUCUACGCUUAGUAUACAUGAGAGAACACACACUGGAGAAAAACCCUAUGAAUGCCAUCUAUGUGGGAAAACCUUCAGCCAAUGUCAUUAUCUUAGACAACAUGAGAGAACACACACUGGAGAAAAACCAUAUAAAUGCCAUAUAUGUGGGAAAACCUUCAGUGCUUGUUCUUCCCUCCAACGACAUGAAAGAACUCACAGUGGAGAGACACCAUGUAAAUGCCAUGUAUGUGGGAAAGCCUACAGUUCUUUUUAUAGCCUCAAACGACAUGAGAGGACUCACACUGGAGAAAAACCCUAUAAGUGCCUCACCUGUGGGAAAGCCUUCAUUGAAAUGUAUGGCCUCAGACGACAUGAGAGAACUCACAGUGUAGAGAAACGGUAUGAAUGUCAUACAUGUGGGAAAGCCUUCAAUAAUUGUUAUAUCCUCAAGCGACAUGUGACAACUCACACUAGAGGGAAACCUUAUGAAUGUCACACAUGUGGGAAACCCUUCAUUCAUAUCUCUGUCCUGCGACGACAUGAGAAAACUCACACUGGAGAGAAACCCUAUGAAUGUAACCAGUGUGGGAAAGCCUUCACUCGACCUUAUAAUCUUCAACAACAUGAAAUUACUCACACUGGAGAGAAACCCUAUGAAUGUAAUCUGUGUGGGAAAGCCUUCACUUACCCUUCUGGUCUUCAACAACAUGGAAUUACUCACACUGGAGAGAGACCCUAUGAAUGUAAUCUGUGUGGGAAAGCCUUUUUUCAUAUCUAUACCCUAAGACGACAUGAGAGAACUCACACUGGAGAGAAACCCUAUGAAUGUAAUCUGUGUGGGAAAGCCUUUGCUCAACCUUGUAGUCUUCAAAAACAUGAGACAAUUCACACAGGAGAGAAACCUUAUCGAUGCCAUAUAUGUGGAAAAGCCUUCAAUGAUUGUUCUUCCUUCAAACAACAUGAGAGAACUCACACUGGAGAGAAACCCUAUGAAUGUAAUCUGUGUGAUAAAGCCUUCACUGAUCCUUAUAGUCUCAAAAAACAUGUGAGAAUUCACACUGGAGAGAAACCCUAUCAAUGCCAUAUAUGUGGGAAAGCCUUCAAUUAUUGUUCUUCCCUCAAACAACAUGAGAGAACUCACACUGGAGAGAAACCCUAUGAAUGUAAUCUGUGUGAUAAAGCCUUCACUAAUCCUUGUAGUCUUAAAAAACAUGUGAGAAUUCACACUGGAGAGAAACCCUAUCAAUGCAAUAUAUGUGGGAAAGCCUUCAAUGAUUGUUCUUCCCUCAAACAACAUGAGAGAACUCACACUGGAGAGAAACCCUAUGAAUGUAAUCUGUGUGAUAAAGCCUUUACUUAUCCUUGUAAACUUAAAAAACAUACGAGAAUUCACACUGGAGAGAAACCCUAUCAAUGCUAUACAUGUGGGAAAGCCUUCACUGAUUUUUCUAACUUCAAACAACAUGAGAGAACACACUAGAGAAUCCCGAUGUGGCCUUUCUCUCCAGAAGCACAACUCUGCAAGCAAAUUCAUUACCCACUCCCCUAGGUGGGACAUGACUCCCAGAACCAACUUCACUCCACAAGAAAGAGGAAAAUAUGGAGAAAGGCAGGAGAGAGGAGCAGGGUCCCAGGGGAAACACACCUAUCAACUAUCUUCAGCUGCCCAGGUGGGGGUGAACCCUGCUGACACCUUGCUGCAACAUCUGCACAUCUCCAUCCUCCAAUGCCAGAGUCCUCCAGCAUGGCAUGCUACACAUGCCCAGCAGACUGAAUUUUUUGUUCCUGUGCAACCUGCGGCUGUUUCCACUGAGCACCUACCCAUCUCCUGCAGUGUCAUUAUUGGCUCCAUGGAGCUUGUGAUCUUCAUCCUCCAUGGAAAGUCUAGUGAGAACAGACUUCCUUUGACAUGCUUUCUUUUUCUUUUGGCUGCCUCCACUGCCCACCAUGUUGGGUAGGAGCAUCUCCAUUCACUCCUUCAUUUCCAGUUAUAUAUCAGGAGAUCUGGAGCCCUGGAUACUGGUUGGGUUGGAAUGUCUUUUCUGGAUGGUGGAUAAGGCUGGAUCUUUCCAAAAGUUGGGAUUUCCUACUUUAAUUAGGUUGUUGUUGAGGUCACUGUUCCCUGAGGAAAUAGGGAUGGUCUUCCUCAUCUCCAGGCCAAGUAGAAGUUUUGUAGGCACAUAAUUCAUGCUCCAGUACUACCAACCUGACCUCUGGCCCUUUGUAGGCCACCUGUUUAUUGUACAUCUUAGUAUUCUUAGAUUACUGAACGGAGAUGCCAAUUGAGGUGGCUUACGGUUGGCAGUGAUGCUAUGCUUUACCUUGUUGCCUGGAGAAGGACUGAUGUAAUUGUUUAGAUAAUUGAGGGCUAGGAAUUCUAGGUAAAUGGGGAGUGACCUCCAGGUGCACUCUAUUAUAACCCAGCAAUGGAUAGAAGGUCAUCACCUUGCUCUAAUAGUCCAUUAGGGAAUUUCAAAUCUCUUCUGUGUGUAACCAAAGGAAACUAUCCAAUCAGCCUGCUGGGACUCUUGUCCUUAUGGAAGUAAGUCUAUAUAAGGCUUUAGUUUGUCCUCUUCAUGCACCCACCUUCAUACGUGGAUCUUUCAUGUAUUUCUCCAAUGUUCCUUUCUUGUGAGGACUGAGAAUGAGAUAUUCCUUGAGUCAGUUUUCACACUUCAUGGACAUGGAAAAUGGAACAUUGUAUUCUCUGCAUAGUACCUGCUCCCACAGAUAUUGAUGUCCUGUACAUCAAAAGAAUGGGAGCUGGUGACCAUUGUAUAGAUGAUGACUCCCAGGUUCCACACAUCCAUCACAGGUCCAUCACAGCCCCUGCCCAAUAAGUGUCGCCAGAAGCAUGAGGGAGACUGCCACACAAGACCAAAGGUAAAUUCAUAGUUUUACACAAGUAUGCAAUCUUGAUAUUCACUUCACCCUCCAAUUACAGAUUUUCUGCCUUUUAGAUUCUAUGAACAGUACACUUCUAGUAAAUGUAGGGCACAGAAGACACUACUGGGAAGAGUUUGCCUCAGGCCUCCUUUUCUUUCAUACUUCCCUGAGCCAUGAGAUAAUCAAAUGCCUCCCAUAGACUUGAGUACUCUAGGACAAGGUACUGGGCUUUCUCUCCAGCAAUGUAUGAGAGUUCCACUUUCUCUACAUCCUCACCAACAGUUGUUUUCCUGCUUUUUUCCAAAGCACAAAUUCUAGUAUUUGUGAAGUGAUGUGUUAUUGUGGCUUUGAAUUGUAUUUCCUAAUCAACUAAUGAUAUUUAACAUCUUUACAAGUGCUUUUUGAAUUACAAAUGUUUAUGAUUUAACCAAGUCCAUUAAUCUACAUUUUCUUUUGUUGCUUGUGGUUUUGAUUUCACAUACAUUGCUAAAGACAAAGUCAUUGAAAUCAUUUCUACCUUUUCCUGUAAGAGCUUUAUGGGUGAAAGUCUUAUAUUUCAUCAGUGAUCCAUUUUGGCUUACUUUUUUUCAUGGCAUAAAGAGGGUAUCCAUGUUUGUUCAUUUGAAAGUGGAAAUACAAUUGUCCCAUAACAAAUUCUUAAAGAGACCGUUCAUUUCCCAUUGAAUCGACUUGGAAACCUUUCCAAAUAUCAAUUAUUCAUAGAUGUAUGUGUUUAUUUCUAGACUAUGAAUUCUAUUCCUUUGCAUUAUGUGCCCAUCCUUAAGCCAGUGUGAUACUGUUUUAUUAUGGUAGCUUCAUAGUAAGUUUGAAAUUGGAAGUGGAAUUCCUCCUAGUUGGUUCCCUUUUGAAAAAUUGCUUUGGCUACACAGAGCCCAUUGAACUUUCACACAAAUUUGAAGAUCUGCUUUUACAAUUCAAAAAAUAAAUAAAGGCCUUUGGAAUUUUGGUAUAUUGUGUUGAAUAAGUAGAUUGCUUUGGGCUGUGUAGACAUGAAAUAUGAAGUCUUUUUACCAAUGAAUAAAGUUUAUCCUUCAAUUUA